GUAUCCUGGCUCAGGAUGAACGCUAGCUACAGGCUUAACACAUGCAAGUCGAGGGGCGAGCAGUGAACUUAGCUUGCUAAGUUUGAUGGCGACCGGCGCACGGGUGAGUAACACGUAUCCAACCUGCCGAUGACUCGGGGAUAGCCUUUCGAAAGAAAGAUUAAUACCCGAUGGCAUAGUUCUUCCGCAUGGUAGAACUAUUAAAGAAUUUCGGUCAUCGAUGGGAUGCGUUCCAUUAGGUUG
rnacentral:rRNA from 1 species